AUUGAACGCUGGCGGCAGGCCUAACACAUGCAAGUCGAACGAGUGGCGGACGGGUGAGUAAUGUCUGGGAAACUGCCUGAUGGAGGGGGAUAACUACUGGAAACGGUAGCUAAUACCGCAUACCAACGGAUGUACCCAGGUGGGAUUAGCUAGUAGGUGGGGUAAAGGCUCACCUAGGCGACGAUCCCUAGCUGGUCUGAUAGGAUGACAGGCCAAACUGGAACUGGGACACGGUCCAGACUCCUACGGGAGGCAGCGGUGGGGAAUAUUGCAAAAUGGGCGAAGGCCUGAUGCAGCACUGCCGCGUGUAUGAAGAGGGCCUUCGGGUUGUAAAGUACUUUCAGCGGGGAGGCGGUACCCGCAGAAGAAGCGCCGGCUAACUACGUGCCAGCAGCCGCGGUAAUAC
rnacentral:rRNA from 1 species